rnacentral:lncRNA from 1 species
UGUGAUGGGACUUUCUGGAAGAGAACCGUUUUCGAAAAAUUUAAAAGAAUGUUUUAUGAAGCGAUAUUCAUUUUCACCUAAGUUCAUGCUUCAGGCUUACAGAGAAAUAAAACUCAAAACCACCUGGGAGCUGUUUUGUUCUCUUUCUCGCCUGACAUUUUCGUAUUGUGACUUAGACGAUGUUCAGGCAUUGUUACAUCUCUAUGAUUUUACUCAAGUGCAUUUUAUGUUUCCGGAGCGUCGGAGUGAUUACUUCUUAUAUAGAGAUAACUUGAUUAAUUUUUACAAAAAUGACCAAUUUA